CAGCCGCCACGGUAAUACGUAGGGUGCAAGCGUUAAUCGGAAUUACUGGGCGUAAAGCGUGCGCAGGCGGUUCGCUAAGACAGAUGUGAAAUCCCCGGGCUUAACCUGGGAACUGCAUUUGUGACUGGCGGGCUAGAGUAUGGCAGAGGGGGGUAGAAUUCCACGUGUAGCAGUGAAAUGCGUAGGGAUGUGGAGGAAUACCGAUGGCGAAGGCAGCCCCCUGGGCCAAUACUGACGCUCAUGCACGAAAGCGUGGGGAGCAAACAGGAUUAGAUACCCGGGUAGUCCCUGUCUCUUAUAC
rnacentral:rRNA from 1 species